UACGAAGGGGGCUAGCGUUGCUCGGAAUUACUGGGCGUAAAGGGCGCGUAGGCGGACAGUUUAGUCAGAGGUGAAAGCCCAGGGCUCAACCUUGGAAUUGCCUUUGAUACUGGCUGUCUUGAGUUCGGGAGAGGUGAGUGGAAUGCCGAGUGUAGAGGUGAAAUUCGUAGAUAUUCGGCGGAACACCAGUGGCGAAGGCGACUACCUGGCCCAUUCUUGACGCUGAGGCGCGAAAGCUAGGGGAGCGAACGGG
rnacentral:rRNA from 1 species